rnacentral:rRNA from 1 species
UACGGAGGAUGCAAGCGUUACCCGGAAUCAUUGGGCGUAAAGCGUCCGUAGGUGGCUGUUCAAGUCUGCGGUCAAAGCGCAAGGCUUAACCUUGUAAAGGCCGUGGAAACUGAAGAGGCUAGAGUGCGGUAGGGGUAGAGGGAAUUCCCAGUGUAGCGGUGAAAUGCGCAGAUAUCAGGAGGAACACCGGUGGCGAAGGCGGAUCUCUGGGCCUUACCUGACGCUCAGGCACGAAAGCUAGGGGAGCGAACAGG